ACGGGGGGGGCAAGUGUUAUUCGGAAUGACUGGGCGUAAAGGGCACGUAGGCAGUGAAUCAGGUUGAAAGUCAAAGACGCCAGCUCAACUGGCGGAAUGCUUUCAAAACCAAUUCACUUGAGUGGGAUAGAGGGGAGUGGAAUUUCGUGUGUAGGGAUAAAAUCCGGAGAUAUACGAAGGAACGCCGAAGUAGCGAAGGCAGCUUUCUGGGUCUCUACUGACGCUAGGGUGCGAAAGCUUGGGGAGCAAACAGGA
rnacentral:rRNA from 1 species